rnacentral:rRNA from 1 species
AGUGAACGCUGGCGGUAGGCCUAACACAUGCAAGUCGAACGGCAGCACAGGAGAGCUUGUUCUCUGGGUGGCGAGUGGCGGACGGGUGAGGAAUACAUCGGAAUCUACUUUUUCGUGGGGGAUAACGUAGGGAAACUUACGCUAAUACCGCAUACGACCUACGGGUGAAAGCAGGGGAUCUUCGGACCUUGCGCGAUUGAAUGAGCCGAUGUCGGAUUAGCUAGUUGGCGGGGUAAAGGCCCACCAAGGCGACGAUCCGUAGCUGGUCUGAGAGGAUGAUCAGCCACACUGGAACUGAGACACAGUCCAGACUCCUACGGGAGGCAGCAGUGGGGAAUAUUGGACAAUGGGCGCAAGCCUGAUCCAGCCAUACCGCGUGGGUGAAGAAGGCCUUCGGGUUGUAAAGCCCUUUUGUUGGGAAAGAAAUCCAGCUGGUUAAUACCCGGUUGGGAUGAUGGUACCCAAAGAAUAAGCACCGGCUAACUUCGUGCCAGCAGCCGCAGUAA